rnacentral:rRNA from 1 species
AUACGGAGGAUGCAAGCGUUAUCCGGAUUUAUUGGGUUUAAAGGGUGCGUAGGCGGAUGAUUAAGCGUGAGGUGAAAUGCCACUGCUCAACAGUGGAACUGCCUCGCGAACUGGUUGUCUUGAAUGCUCCUGCCGUGGGAGGAAUGUGUGGUGUAGCGGUGAAAUGCAUAGAGAUCACACAGAACACCGAUUGCGAAGGCAUCUCACGAAGGGGUGAUUGACGCUGAGGCAUGAAAGCGUGGGGAUCAAACAGGAUUAGAUACCCUGGUAGUCCACGCAGUAAACGAUGAUAACUAACCGCUGGGUCGUAGUGAUUCAGUGGCCAAGCGAAAGCGAUAAGUUAUCCACCUGGGGAGUACGACCGCAAGGUUGAAACUCAAAUGAAUUGACGGGG